GUGGGAACAGUAUAGCCGCAAAUCUGACUCGCGUGUGGUGCGCUUGGGAUUGCGGUAGUGC
rnacentral:ncRNA from 1 species